GACGAACGCUGGCGGCGUGCUUAACACAUGCAAGUCGAACGAAGAGCGAUGGAAGCUUGCUUCUAUCAAUCUUAGUGGCGAACGGGUGAGUAACGCGUAAUCAACCUGCCCUUCAGAAGGGGACAACAGUUGGAAACGACUGCUAAUACCGCAUACGAUCUAAACUCGGCAUCGAGGAUAGAUGAAAGGUGGCCUCUACAUGUAAGCUAUCACUGAAGGAGGGGAUUGCGUCUGAUUAGCUAGUUGGAGGGGUAACGGCCCACCAAGGCGAUGAUCAGUAGCCGGUCUGAGAGGAUGAACGGCCACAUUGGGACUGAGACACGGCCCAGACUCCUACGGGAGGCAGCAGUGGGGAAUCUUCCGCAAUGGACGAAAGUCUGACGGAGCAACGCCGCGUGAGUGAUGACGGCCUUCGGGUUGUAAAGCUCGGUUAAUCGGGACGAAAGGCCUUCUUGCGAAUAGUGAGAAGGAUUGACGGUACCGGAAUAGAAAGCCACGGCUAACUACGUG
rnacentral:rRNA from 1 species